rnacentral:tRNA from 20 species
GCCAGCGUAGCUCAACCGGUAGAGCGACUGAUUUGUAAUCAGUAGGUUGUGGGUUCGAGUCCCACCGCUGGCUCCA